rnacentral:rRNA from 1 species
GAGCGAACGCUGGCGGCAGGCCUAACACAUGCAAGUCGAACGAACCUUUCGGGGUUAAUGGCGGACGGGUGAGUAACACGUGGGAACGUGCCUUUAGGUUCGGAAUAACUCAGGGAAACUUGUGCUAAUACCGAAUGUGCCCUUCGGGGGAAAGAUUUAUCGCCUUUAGAGCGGCCCGCGUCUGAUUAGCUAGUUGGUUGAGGUAAUGGCUCACCAAGGCGACGAUCAGUAGCUGGUCUGAGAGGAUGAUCAGCCACAUUGGGACUGAGACACGGCCCAAACUCCUACGGGAGGCAGCAGUGGGGAAUCUUGCGCAAUGGGCGAAAGCCUGACGCAGCCAUGCCGCGUGAAUGAUGAAGGUCUUAGGAUUGUAAAAUUCUUUCACCGGGGACGAUAAUGACGGUACCCGGAGAAGAAGCCCCGGCUAACUUCGUG